rnacentral:rRNA from 1 species
GAUGAACGCUGGCGGCGUGCCUAAUACAUGCAAGUCGAGCGAACGGACGAGAAGCUUGCUUCUCUGAUGUUAGCGGCGGACGGGUGAGUAACACGUGGAUAACCUACCUAUAAGACUGGGAUAACUUCGGGAAACCGGAGCUAAUACCGGAUAAUAUUUUGAACCGCAUGGUUCAAAAGUGAAAGACGGUCUUGCUGUCACUUAUAGAUGGAUCCGCGCUGCAUUAGCUAGUUGGUAAGGUAACGGCUUACCAAGGCAACGAUGCAUAGCCGACCUGAGAGGGUGAUCGGCCACACUGGAACUGAGACACGGUCCAGAACCCUAAGGGAGGCAGCAGUAGGGAAUCUUCCGCAAUGGGCGAAAGCCUGACGGAGCAAAGGCGCGUGAGUGAUGAAGGUCUUCGGAUCGUAAAACUCUGUUAUUAGGGAAGAAAAUAUGUGUAAGUAACUGUGCACAUCUUGACGGUACCUAAUCAGAAAGCCACGGCUAACUACGUG